UGUAAGCGUAUACCAAAGUUGUUGCAGUUAAAACGCUCGUAGUCGGAAUUUGGCAGUUCCGGAUGUGUGCACGUCGUGUGCGCACUUCGCGGGGAUUGCUUUUGUGGUCCUGCGUAGGAUGAGGCACUUUUAUUAGUGAACGUCCUCACGCAACCACUUUUUACUGUGAGAAAAUCAGAGUGCUCAAAGCAGGCAUUUGCCGUGAAUGUAUUAGCAUGGAAUAAUAGAAUAGGACUUGGUUCUAUUUUGUUGGUUUGUUGGGACUGAGUAAUGAUUAAGAGGGACAGUUGGGGGCAUUUGUAUUUCGGUGCUAGAGGUGAAAUUCUUAGAUUACCGAAAGACAAACUGCUGCGAAAGCGUCUGCCAAGGAUGUUAUCAUUGA
rnacentral:rRNA from 1 species